GGGCGAAUGGUUUAGUGGUAUAAUACUCCCUUAGCAUGAUCGUUCCACGACAUCUGGGAGUGGUCCAGGGUUCGAUUCCCUGUUCGUCCA
rfam:Nectria haematococca mpVI 77-13-4 chromosome 3 genomic scaffold NECHAsca_2_chr3_3_0, whole genome shotgun sequence.